AUUCUGGCUGCAUUCUUAUGGGAUUAAGGGUUUUCUGUUUCCUAGAAGGAAUAAAAUAUGGCUAUCUGAGCCAGAGGAGUAGGAAAUCUCUCUGUAAACUCCCUAAUGUUGGGUGUUUUUUUUUUCUUUUUAUGAGAUAUAUUUUCACCUCAUUUAGUUUUUAUUUCAGUAUGGCUCUUUCAUCAGUCUGAGCAUCUGAAGGAAGUGACAACUUUAUGGGGAGGCAAGGAGGAAUCAUUGGAUUAAAAGAAGGUAUGAAAACAGAACUCAGAGAAUGGAACAGUUUAGAAAGAAUAAAGGCCUAGUAGGUGGCUCACUGAAGUCAAAAUAAAUGUGCAUUUUGGAUGGAGAGAUUCCUGAGAGAGUCUACAUCAUGACCAAGAGGCUGUAUAUGAUGGUACAUGUAAGUGUGCAGUUUAGCUUUCAUCACAGGUUUUAAAAUCAAUAAAGGGGCUUUGAUCUUCCAUACUGCUUUCUUCUCAGCAAGGACCCGUGUCAACCCUGUGUCGAGAUGAAUACUUCUUUCAGCCACGCCAUGGUAUUAUGGAAGAUACCUGGCCUUUCAGACUUCAUGAGAUUUACAGAUCUAUCAUAUUCCUUGGAAAGCUGAAUUGCAUGUGAAGUAACUUUUGGACUACAGCCAUUUGCAUCUGCUCUGUAAUCACUCAGGUUGCAGAUGAUGGUUUGGGAACUGCAUCACAUACAGUUUGACUGUAUCUACUGCAGCUCAUCUGCCUCUAGUGAAUGGGCAGUCAAGGGAAGCACCUCCUUUAACUGUCCAUGUUUAACCUGCCAAUUGCUGUUGAAUAAACAGCCCUAGCUCUACAAUUUUGCUGGGCUGAUGAUGCUCGGAAAGGCCAGGCAGCCUCUGAAGCAGCGUCAUGCAGAAGUCACAAUGUGCAGGAAUGAGUAUCAGAUGGUUGAUGUCACCUCUUGUUGAGUUCAGUACCAGCCGAUGGCACAUAGCCCCUUAUGAACCUGAUGCUGUGUUUCCUCCUGGUGUGUUGGUAUGUGUCCCUCUGUAUUACAGGCCCACCAGAGAUUCAACAAGACUCCUUUGUGUGUUGAGGAAGGAAUGAAUACAGUACUCAAGCCAGAUGCCUGUGUGUUUUGAGGAUUUUACUAUAUAACUUCCUUUCCGUUUGGUAACUGGGAACUGGACGGACCUUAUUUGUUUAUAGAGAUAUACUUAAAUCUCUGGCUGUCAAAGUGGAUUUGGGUUACAUGUAUAUGUUUUUUAAAUGUUGGAGACUGAGUAGUUAUGAGCUAAUUUUUAGAGGUAGGGAUGGAAGAAGAGUGGGGAAAAUCUUUUGAAUGUUUUCAGCACAGUAGUGGUGUCAAAUUUACCCCAUUUUCCAAGCUGACCACAACACUGAUGCUAAGGCUCGAAUGAUUUCUCACCACAUCAGAAGCAAAUGUAGUUCUGGCCUGUUUCCAUGUUGCUGUGAGUCAGUUACUGCUUUUGGAUGCUUUAGGCUGUAUUUCCCUGUAAGAUCAUGAGUUUCUGUUGUUCUGACCAAAAUUCAUAGGCACAAGGCCUUGGGCAAUGUGCCAGCGCAUUGAAUCUGAAUUGAAACCCAUCUUUGUGUGAACCCAACUGAAUGAUCCUUCCUGAGUCUUGGGCAUAUAUUCAGCCUCAUUUAUUUGCUUAAUUAUACUUCUAAAAACCAGUCUACAGUAUGCAAGAUUUCCCUGCUUUACUGUCGUAUCACACAUGCUUUCAUGUCAGGGACAUGAGUCCAAACAAAGAGCAAGAGUCUCCUGCAAAAGGAAACUUAUUUGCUUCGAUUUGGUAACCUCAGAAAUAUCCAUCUUGCAACUUCUAUAAAUGUAUGUUGUCAGGGACCUGUUCAGGUUGAGCAUCAGAGUGGAAAAUACUCAGGUAUAUGGCUGAGAGGAGUUCAGUCCCUCAGGUGAGCCAGUCCUGCACUGCUGAGUGCUGGUGGGAUGAAGGCACUAGUGUGGUGGUGUGGGAUCGAAGGCACUGGAGCAUAAUUGUAAUCACAGAGCAUUUUCCCUUCUACUUGAUGGGCUGUUGCUGCUCCUGGGAGCCAGCGAGUUUAUCACAGCCUUCCUCACCCACCUGCAGUGUCUUAGGCAGAAUUCAGAGAGGCUACUCAGGCAGAAUUUAGGACCUGAAUAUUUGUCAUCUGAAAAGACUGUGUCAAAGUGGUAAAAAAAGAAAAAAGAAAAA